rnacentral:rRNA from 1 species
GCCAUCAUUCAGUUGGGCACUCUAGCGAGACUGCCGGUAAUAAACCGGAGGAAGUGGGGAUGACGUCAAUCAUCAUGCCCCUUAUGACCUGGGCUACACACGUGCUACAAUGGUUGGUACAACGAGUUGCGAGUCGGUGACGGCGAGCUAAUCUCUUAAAGCCAAUCUCAGUUCGGAUUGUAGGCUGCAACUCGCCUACAUGAAGUCGGAAUCGCUAGUAAUCGCGGAUCAGCACGCCGCGGUGAAUACGUUCCCGGGCCUU